UGGGUAUUUUGACGACAUGGCUUCUCCUUUGGCAUGUUUAAUUGUGAUGUUUAACAGACAUACUUGCAGUCUAAGAUGACACUUUUAAAAUAAAAUUCUCUCCUAGUGAUGACUUGAGCCCUGCCACUCAAUGGGAGAAUCAGCAGAACCUGUAGGAUCUUAUUCGGAAUUGACAUUUCUCUAUUGUAAUUUUGUUCCUGUUUAUUUUUAAAUUUUCGGCUAAAUGUUCUUUUUGUUUCACUGGAAAGGAAAGAUGAUGCUCAGUUUUAAAAGCUAAAAGUGUAUGAGCUGCUUUGUUACAAUAAAACUAAAUGUGUACA